CCAGGUUGCAGGAAGGAUGUGUACUGUCAGCAACUCUCAGAAGGCUGAACAAACGAGUCCCACAGCAGCCCUGGGAAGGAUCUCUGCUGUACCUUUUGGGAGGGCAGAUUUUUUACUGGAGGCUAGCACGUUUUGAAUUUUAAUCACUGAAAAUGAAGCGGCAGUGUGAAAGAUUAAUUAUUCUGGGAAUAGCAGCUUGAUUUUGGACACCAUUUUUCUUCAGCCUGUUGAUCUGUUGGGCCCUAUGAGACUGCUGGAACUGCUGAAUGCCAUGUGAGAGUUACACUUGCAAUUUGGUUGUGUCCUGGAAUGGAGAGCAUAGUUUCCCAGGAAAAGUGGCAUUAGAAAGCAGCUUGCCAGAGCCAGAGCAUUAAAUGUGCUGUUGCUCCUGGUUGGUAUCUGGUGAGCCUUUGAGGAGGAGGGGAGAUAGAUGGAAGCACUGCAGCUGAAAUGAGUUGUCACACUCAGGGACGGGUUGUGUACUCCUGCUUUUGUGCAUCUGUGCAGUGAACAGAAGAGAGUGAUACCUGUGCUGGUUUUAAUUUACUUAGUAAUAAUAAAAGCCACAAACUUCAGCA
rnacentral:lncRNA from 1 species